AGUGGACGCUGGCGGUAGGCCUAACACAUGCAGGUCGAACGGCAGCACAGUAAGAGCUUGCUCUUACGGGUGGCGAGUGGCGGACGGGUGAGGAAUACAUCGGAAUCUACUUUUUCGUGGGGGAUAACGUAGGGAAACUUACGCUAAUACCGCAUACGACCUACGGGUGAAAGCAGGGGAUCUUCGGACCUUGCGCGAUUGAAUGAGCCGAUGUCGGAUUAGCUAGUUGGCGGGGUAAAGGCCCACCAAGGCGACGAUCCGUAGCUGGUCUGAGAGGAUGAUCAGCCACACUGGAACUGAGACACGGUCCAGACUCCUACGGGAGGCAGCAGUGGGGAAUAUUGGACAAUGGGCGCAAGCCUGAUCCAGCCAUACCGCGUGGGUGAAGAAGGCCUUCGGGUUGUAAAGCCCUUUUGUUGGGAAAGAAAAGCAGCAGGUUAAUACCCCGCUGUUCUGACGGUACCCAAAGAAUAAGCACCGGCUAACUUCGUG
rnacentral:rRNA from 1 species